rnacentral:snRNA from 1 species
AGAUUUAAAUCUUCUAAAUUCUU